UACGGGGGGGGCAAGCGUUGUUCGGAAUUACUGGGCGUAAAGGGCGCGUAGGCGGUUGGAUAAGUCAGCUGUGAAAACCACGGGCUUAACUCGUGGCCUGCAGUUGAGACUGUCUGGCUUGAGUGUGGGAGAGGAGAGUGGAAUUCCUGGUGUAGCGGUGAAAUGCGUAGAUAUCUGGAGGAAUACCGGUGGCGAAGGCGGCAUCCUGGACCGGUAUUGACGCUGAGGCGCGAAAGCCAGGGGAGCAAACGGG
rnacentral:rRNA from 1 species